rnacentral:rRNA from 1 species
GAGUUUUAUAACACCAUAGGACUGGCCGUCCCAUAUGAAAAGAUUAUAUUAGAAUUGAAUGAAGCUUUGUUUAUAUAUUGAUAAUGACAGUAUAUAUAUCGUGUCUUGACUAAUUGCGUGCCAGCAGUCGCGGUAGUACGUAAGAGACUAGUGUUAUUCAUCUUAAUUAGGUUUAAAGGGUACCCAGACGGUCAAUAUAGCUUAUAAAAUGUUAGUACUUGACUAGAGUUUUAUGUAAGAGGGCAGUACUUGAGGAGGAGAGAUGAAAUUUCGUGAUACCAAAGGGACUCUGUAAAGGCGAAGGCAGCCCUCUAUGUAAAAACUGACGUUGAAGGACGAAGGCACAGAGAACAAACAGGAUUAGAUACCCAAGUAGUCUUUGCAGUAAAUGAUGAAUGCCAUAGGUUAGAUGGGUGGGUUAGUCUAGUUGAGUUAGUUUAGCAAAGUAAUGAUCUAGACGAGCCCACCAUAUAUUUGGUCUAUAAAUGAAAGGUAAAGCAUUUCACCUCAAGAGUA